rnacentral:rRNA from 1 species
CAUUCACGGAGAGUUUGAUCCUGGCUCAGGACGAACGCUGGCGGCGUGCUUAACACAUGCAAGUCGAACGAUGAACCACCUUCGGGUGGGGAUUAGUGGCGAACGGGUGAGUAACACGUGGGCAAUCUGCCCUUCACUCUGGGACAAGCCCUGGAAACGGGGUCUAAUACCGGAUACUGACCUGCCAAGGCAUCUUGGCGGGUCGAAAGCUCCGGCGGUGAAGGAUGAGCCCGCGGCCUAUCAGCUUGUUGGUGAGGUAAUGGCUCACCAAGGCGACGACGGGUAGCCGG